AUCCGACUGAUGAGUCCAUAAUAGGACGAAACUCGCAUCCUGGAU
rnacentral:hammerhead_ribozyme from 1 species